ensembl:snRNA U4 U4 spliceosomal RNA
AGCUUUGCACAGUGGCAGUAUCGUAGCCAAUGAGGCUUACCCGAGGCACGAUUAUUGCUAAUUGAAAACUUUUCCCAAUACCCCACCAUGACGACUUGCAAUACAGUCCGCACUGGCAAUUUUUGACAGUCUCUACGGAGA